AGAAAUUAAACAAAAACAACAACAACAAUAAAAAACCCUAUCACAAGGCGAGAGGCUUGCCAUCUGCCGCGUGGGUGCCGGAGCAGGAGCCGCACGCCAGCCCCGCGCUGCCUGGGUACCGCCGGCGCCAAGUGACUCAGCACCGGGAGGGAUGCGCUGGGAUUCCUCGGCCCCGCGCACCCCGAGAAAUGUCCCCAGCCCAACGAAGGGACCCAAAAAGGGGGAAAAAAAAAAAAAAUCCCCCUGGGUACCCGCUCGUAGCCAGGGCUGGGAACCCAUCCUGCCGGGGUCGGACCCUUCGCACCUCCGGUGGUACCUCGGGGAGGAGGAAAUCCAGGUGGAAGCGGGGAUUUUUCGCAGGAGCCGCGUUUCCAUGGCACCCAGCAGGGAGGUGUUAUCCACGGCCCUGCCGCUUCGUGGGGUCCAGCAGUGAGAGCAGCCCCGGAGCCCACCCCGCCACCAACACCCACAGCCCGCGGGGCCCAUCCGGUGGCACAGCUGCCACCCAAAUGUCCCCAGACGUCCCCAGAUGCAGGCUGGGCACUGCUCACCGCGAUCCAUUUGGGGUGGCACCUGCAUGGCUUUGAAACCCCUGCGUGUCCCCUCCCCGAGGUGUCCCCUGGGUCCCACCUUGCUGGGGCUGAGCACCACCGGGUUGCGGGGCCGGCAGCGCCGUGUCCCCGUAUAACACAGCCCUCGGCGUGCUGGGGAGGGAGACAAAAGCCCUAUUACUCACUGCCGGGGAGGAGCGCACAGCACAUUACUCAGCCCCUCCAUCAGACGGGUUUAUUCUUCACCCAUCAACCUGGGGGAGCGGCGAGGAGGAGGAGGAGGGUGCCGGGGGGGUGAUGGAUCCCCCCGAGCGGUGACAGCCCCUCUUCCCCCCUGCCUGCGGGAUGCUGAGCCCGGGGGACACGGUCCUGGGUCACUGUCCCCCUCCAGGGACAGCUGGGGCAAUGGUCCGAGCACAAACUGGUGCUGUGGUUCUUACUGGGGGAAAGCAUCCAUCGCAGGAGCCGUCGGAGCCAUUAGCAUGCUCUCAGUGCUGCGGUGCUGGAGAGCUGCCGGGGGCUGAGGGUCACCUGCAUCACCUUGCUGUUUAUCUAGCAGCUGUACUAAGGAUCUGCUGGCAUCCCCGUGUCCCGCUGCUCCCAUCCCCUCGUGUGCUGCCCUUGAGACGAGGUGCCCGAGCAGAGACCUGCGUCCGUAGGAGAUUUGGUGGAAAACCAAUUAGGAUUUUAGAAGCAAAGGAGGGCUGUUAAUUGACUCUAUCCUUGCAAAUUAAUAAGGCAUUGAUGUUAUUGUUUAACUCUGCAUUUGGAAAUUCAGCAUGAGCCUGGUGAUGUUUGGGGGGCCGAGAGAUGAGCAGGGGGCUGCGGAGCAAGGAGCAGAUUGGGGGCUGCUCUGUGUGCUCAGGGUAUUUCCAUGGGGUAUUUGCCUGGAGACUUCCCCAGGGGUUCUCUAGUGGGGUAUGCAAUCCCCAGGGCUGCCUUACUUCUCUGCCUCACCCUAUGUGCUUAUAUAGCCCGGUGCUGAUGGCUGCUACCAGCUGACAAGGGCAGCCCUGCCCCUCUAGGAUAAAACCGGCCGAGGUGUCCGGGUGCUGCGGAGGGCAGCCCGGGAACGGAGCUGCUGGAGCUGCUGUUGGGCUCUCCCGUGCACGAGGAUGAUGGCACACAGGAGGGGCUGUCAGGGAGAGUGAUGAACAUGGGCGGACGGCAGCUGGUGUGACAAACAGCAUGCCUCCCGAAGGGAAGCCCAGCAUGGAGCGAAGACACCCGCUCAGCUCUCAGCUCCGUCCUCAUCCCAGGCUGUGCGAGGGAUGCCUGGAGAAAAGCAUGAAUCAGCCUUUCUCGGAGCACACGGCGUGACGAGCUCCCGGCGGCUCCCCCGUGGGUUUGCCUCACAGCCCUGCCUGCUGCGGGUGGGUUCUUUAUGGGGCUGAUUUCUUUGGGCAUCGCUGGUGAGGCAGAGCCACAGCUCUGGUGUCCUCACCGGGGGACGGUUGCGCACCAAAUGCUUUUGCAUCUCUGCAGGCGUUGCAAAGAGCAGGGCUGCAUUCUAUUGCCAUUAGAAGAAAUAAAAAUCAGUUUUUUUUUUCCCC